rnacentral:rRNA from 1 species
UACGGAGGAUGCAAGCGUUAUCCGGAAUUAUUGGGCGUAAAGCGUCCGCAGGUGGCACUUCAAGUCUGCUGUCAAAGACCGGGGCUUAACCCUGGAAAGGCAGUGGAAACUGAAGCGCUAGAGUGUGGCAGGGGUAGAGGGAAUUCCUGGUGUAGCGGUGAAAUGCGUAGAGAUCAGGAAGAACACCGGUGGCGAAAGCGCUCUGCUGGACCUUAACUGACACUGAGGGACGAAAGCUAGGGGAGCGAAUGGG